CCUACGGGAGGCAGCAGUGAGGAAUAUUGGUCAAUGGGCGCUAGCCUGAACCAGCCAAGUAGCGUGAAGGAUGACUGCCCUAUGGGUUGUAAACUUCUUUUAUAUGGGAAUAAAGUGCAGUAUGUAUACUGCUUUGCAUGUACCUUAUGAAUAAGGAUCGGCUAACUCCGUGCCAGCAGCCGCGGUAAUACGGAGGAUCCGAGUGUUAUCCGGAUUUAUUGGGUUUAAAGGGAGCGUAGGCGGGUUGUUAAGUCAGUUGUGAAAGUUUGCGGCUCAACCGUAAAAUUGCAGUUGAUACUGGCAGCCUUGAGUACAGUAGAGGUAGGCGGAAUUCGUGGUGUAGCGGUGAAAUGCUUAGAUAUCACGAAGAACUCCGAUUGCGAAGGCAGCCUGCUGGACUGUAACUGACGCUGAUGCUCGAAAGUGUGGGUAUCAAACAGGAUUAGAUACCCCAGUAGUC
rnacentral:rRNA from 1 species